UACGGGGGGAGCAAGCGUUGUUCGGAUUUACUGGGCGUAAAGGGCGCGUAGGCGGCCUGUUAAGUCAGUUGUGAAAGCCCGGGGCUCAACCCCGGAGGGUCGACUGAUACUGGCAGGCUAGAGUACAGAAGAGGUAGCUGGAAUUCCCGGUGUAGCGGUGAAAUGCGUAGAUAUCUGGAGGAACACCGGUGGCGAAGGCGGCAUCCUGGACCGACACUGACACUGAGGAGCGAAAGCCAGGGGAGCAAACGGG
rnacentral:rRNA from 1 species